rnacentral:rRNA from 1 species
GACGAACCGUACGAACGUUAUUCGGAAUCACUGGGCUUAAAGGGUGCGUAGGCGGCGCGACAAGUUGGGUGUGAAAUCCCUCGCUCAACCGAGGAACUGCGCCCAAAACUGUCGUGCUCGAGGGAGACAGAGGUGAGCGGAACUUAGGGUGGAGCGGUGAAAUGCGUUGAUAUCCUAAGGAACACCGGUGGCGAAAGCGGCUCACUGGGUCUCUGCUGACGCUGAGGCACGAAAGCUAGGGUAGCGAACGGG